GACGAACGCUGGCGGCGUGCUUAACACAUGCAAGUCGAACGGAAAGGCCCUGCUUUUGUGGGGUGCUCGAGUGGCGAACGGGUGAGUAACACGUGAGUAACCUGCCCUUGACUUUGGGAUAACUUCAGGAAACUGGGGCUAAUACCGGAUAGGAGCUCCUGCUGCAUGGUGGGGGUUGGAAAGUUUCGGCGGUUGGGGAUGGACUCGCGGCUUAUCAGCUUGUUGGUGGGGUAGUGGCUUACCAAGGCUUUGACGGGUAGCCGGCCUGGGAGGGUGACCGGCCACAUUGGGACUGAGGUACGGACCAGACUCCUACGGGAGGCAGCAGUGGGGAGUAUUGCACAGUGGGCGGAAGCCUGAUGCGGCGACGCCGCGUGCGGGAUGACGGCCUUCGGGUUGUAAACCGCUUUCGCCGGUGACGAAGCGUGAGUGACGGUAAUGGGUAAAGAAGCACCGGCUAACUACGUG
rnacentral:rRNA from 1 species